rnacentral:rRNA from 1 species
AGUGAACGCUGGCGGUAGGCCUAACACAUGCAAGUCGAACGGCAGCACAGUAAGAGCUUGCUCUUACGGGUGGCGAGUGGCGGACGGGUGAGGAAUACAUCGGAAUCUACUUUUUCGUGGGGGAUAACGUAGGGAAACUUACGCUAAUACCGCAUACGACCUACGGGUGAAAGCAGGGGAUCUUCGGACCUUGCGCGAUUGAAUGAGCCGAUGUCGGAUUAGCUAGUUGGCGGGGUAAAGGCCCACCAAGGCGACGAUCCGUAGCUGGUCUGAGAGGAUGAUCAGCCACACUGGAACUGAGACACGGUCCAGACUCCUACGGGAGGCAGCAGUGGGGAAUAUUGGACAAUGGGCGCAAGCCUGAUCCAGCCAUACCGCGUAGGUGAAGAAGGCCUUCGGGUUGUAAAGCCCUUUUGCUGGGAAAGAAAAGCAGCAGGUUAAUACCCCGCUGUUCUGACGGUACCCAAAGAAUAAGCACCGGCUAACUUCGUG